AACUGCUCGGCGAAAUGCCUGCCUGUACUGUCGUGUAUGUGUGCGAGUACACCUGAGUAAUAUGGUAGUAGUUGCUGCGUGCUGCGGCCUGGGUGCACUUGUUCCAAGUGCUCUGCUGCUGUGUACAAGUGUAUAUUAUAGUCAUCAGGGCAAAUACCAUUUAGACAAGAUUGAAACUGAAUGGUGCAUGUAGAGUUCGUCUAUUAAAUGUGUGUUUAGUAAUAGUUCAGCCCUGUUUCUCUUGCAUAGUUUCUCUUGCAAUAACCGAGCACUUUUUCCCUCACAUAGUGUUGAGAUAUGUGUCGAAUAUGUGUACGAGUAGGGCUACAGUUGGACUUGGAAUUAGCGGAUGGUUAGGUGUUGGAGUCGAACACGUGUAACCCGGGCCUAAUAUAUAAAGGCACCGCGGGUAGCCCGAAGAGAUCAUGACAACAUAAUAGCAAUAGGCUCGCAGGGGGAGCCGGCGACUUGUGCCGGCACCCAGGGUGGCCGGUGUUGCGAUAUUAUGGGGGGAGGAGCGCCCGUAGUCAUGUCCCGCGGAUGUAGGCUUUGGCCAAACCCCGUUAACAAAUAUCGUGCCUCGAUGUCAUCCUUGAUCGUGCAUCUGCCGGAUUUCGUAACACAUAGUGUUUUAGUAAUAUAAUACCAUGAACAGGCAAAAUGUAUUUGGUUACUGUGUCCACAUUACAUGUGUGCCUCAUGUUUGCUUUGGCCUUCUAACUAAUUUUUUUCCUGAUGGACUGAGGUGUGUAGAAACUGACUCUUAAUCAUAGACAUAAAUGCUAAAACGAUCAAAUAUUAUGGAGUGAAAUUAAAAGUCAUGGCCUGUCCAUUGAAGUUGUAUUGUAUCAUCUUAGAAGAAACAUAGGACUUCGCAUAAUAUUAACAGUUGAGAUGCACGCAUAUUCAUCGAUGGUCUUGAACUCAAUCCAAAUGGUGGUGUUCAGUCUCUUGAUCUAGAUUACAUGUUAUUGACGGGUUUGUCACUAUUGUCAAUAGCCUGUGCUAUGUGUUAAAUUAGUUUCUUCUAUUUAGAUAUCAUGUCAUAGAGGAUCUUGCUCUUUGUUCCAGUUAUGACUCUGAAUUAAAUAAGAUGGAAAUCAAAGUCAAUUUACUGAGGAGAUGGAUAUUAGUGAGCAAGCUGUUCGAACAAACAUUAACAGAUUUUGUCGAAACAUCAUAUUGUAUAUUCUAAUACGGAUGGUUGCAUUAUAUUCUUCCAUAUUUCUUGUGCCAAGUUGCCUGCCUUCCGCUGAGAUAUAUUCUUGAAAUAUCACAGAAAUAUGUUACGGGACAACCUUGAACUUUUGUUCCGACAGUCUUGAGGUCUAAUUGACAUGGCAGUUGAAAUGUUAGGAUUGAAGUACCAAAUUAUGACUGUUCAUGCUGAGGCUACAAAAUGAAACACA